CACAGGGUCACUUGAGGUGGUGUGUAGCGAGUGAGCCAGCCUCCUCCGUGUGUACUUUGGUUGUCUUUCAUGCAAUCUUCAUUAGCCCUCAUUCAGGCUGGGAAGCAGUGCCUGGCUUUAUCAUCCUAUAGCCCUCCUGUCUAGUGGCUUGAGAUAGCAGUUCAUCUGGUACAUCUCUGUUAUGGUACAGAACACAGGGUCACCGUUUUUAAGCAUGCAUCAAAGAGAACAAAACCAAAAGGAGCUUGCAGUGCCCAGGAAGACCUGUGCAAUGUUCCCAUUGUUUCCAGGGGUUGAUGGUACCAAAGCAUCACAGAGCGUUUGCUCUCCUGCAGCUAAAUGUUGGCAAAAACACAUUGGGGACCAGGGGAACCCUCAUCAGUUCCAAAGGGUCCAUGGUGGACCUCCGGUAGAAUCACUCCUCAUCCAGCCCCCUCUGGUGCCUCGUCCAGCUCAUGCUGCAGCUUACGGAACUUGCCCAGGUGGCAGUUGGCCUGUUCCUCCUGUUUCCACAGGGAUGUAACAGAAGCAAAGCCAACCAGGUUCAUUACAAACCCUUCUAGACAUGUUAAUAGCUUGAACCUUACCUGUAGCAGUCUAGACCGAGCUAUGGCCUGUGAUCAUUGACUAUUGGAAUCACUUUGGGAUAGUAGUAUUCCACAGAACAUUACGUAUUCUAUUACACAUAUAUCAAAAAUAAUAAUAGCAGGCACCCAAGAGGGUCUGGCACACAUUCUACCUGCUACAUACUAAACGUUGUAGAUAGUGGAGCUGAAAGUUUCACACUUACAGCCUCCUCAGAUGUCCUCUUGUAGGCUUUGACCUUCAGCUGCAGCUUGUCUACAAGGUCUUGGAGACGAGUGACGUUCUUGCGAUCCUCAUCAGUCUGAAAAAUGUUGAUAAAUGUAUAUGAAUACAUAUAGUACUUGUGUUCUCUACUCAAAUACUGUACUUCAACAAAUGGGGUCACUCCACUUGAUCGUGAGUAAAUAAAGAGCCAACUCUCCCUGCUGAAGGACAUUUGUAUUAUAAUGGAGUUUCACUUAGAAGUAUUUUUCCAUUAGCGCUUGUAAAAUAAAUGAAUAAAGCACCUGAUAUGUCAGCUCUUUGAUUCGUCUCUCGUAUUUGCGGAUUCCCUUCACUGCUUCACCGCUCUUCUUUUGCUCAGACUCCACCUCGGUCUCCAGCUCCCGUACCUGAGAAUACCAACAAUUACAAUUAAAGCAUCCAUUACAAAUACAUUCAUAGAUUAGGUAUCGCUGUCUAACUACAGCAAAUAAAGCCAUAGCAGCCUACUUCAAAUAUGCAGCCUAC